rnacentral:lncRNA from 1 species
AGUGACCACAAGAAGAGCAACUCUCCAGAAAUCUUCAGGGUAGAGAUGAGACCAACCAAGUAGUAUUCACUUGUCCUCAACAGCAGAAUCUGAGAAGGAAGAAAAUAGGAGAAAGAGGAAGGGAAAGAGUUGCAGGACUGUGAAUAGAGUUAAUCAAGGCUCUUGAUUGCAGGAGAAGGCUGUGAUUAAGAUUGAAUCGCCAGUUGUGGCUAGAGAACUCCUUGCCAGAUACGGUGGG